rnacentral:misc_RNA from 1 species
UCACCCCUCAAGCCCCCGGCUUGGUGUUGGACGGCCUGGUUUCGGUGCCCCGAAACCCCUCCUAAAGUUAAUGACGGCGGUCCGCGCGCCCCCGGUACACUGAGUUCUUUCCAGAGCACGUAUCGGUCCAGGGUGUCGGGCCCCCGGUCGCCUCCCCUCGGGGAAAUUUUUCUCA